rnacentral:rRNA from 1 species
GGGCAGCACGGGAGUAGCAAUACACUGGUGGCGACCGGNNNNNNNGUGAGUAACGCGUAUGCAACCUACCUAUCAGAGGGGAAUAACCCGGCGAAAGUCGGACUAAUACCGCAUAAAACAGGGGCACCGCAUGGUGAUAUUUGUUAAAGAAAUUCGCUGAUAGAUGGGCAUGCGUUCCAUUAGGUAGUUGGUGAGGUAACGGCUCACCAAGCCGACGAUGGAUAGGGGAACUGAGAGGUUGGUCCCCCACACUGGUACUGAGACACGGACCAGACUCCUACGGGAGGCAGCAGUGAGGAAUAUUGGUCAAUGGGCGAGAGCCUGAACCAGCCAAGUCGCGUGAAGGAAGAAGGAUCUAUGGUUCGUAAACUUCUUUUGCAGGGGAAUAAAGUGCAGGACGUGUCCUGUUUUGUAUGUACCCUGAGAAUAAGGAUCGGCUAACUCCGUGCCAGCAGCCGCGGUAAUACGGAGGAUCCGAGCGUUAUCCGGAUUUAUUGGGUUUAAAGGGUGCGUAGGUGGUUUGAUAAGUCAGCGGUGAAAGUUUGUAGCUUAACUGUAAAAAUGCCGUUGAAACUGUCGGACUUGAGUGUAAAUGAGGUAGGCGGAAUGCGUGGUGUAGCGGUGAAAUGCAUAGAUAUCACGCAGAACUCCGAUUGCGAAGGCAGCUUACUAAGCUACAACUGACACUGAAGCACGAAAGCGUGGGGAUCAAACAGG